rnacentral:lncRNA from 1 species
GACAGCGCUCGUGUGAUUGGGCGAUUAGGUAUAGGGACUUGGUAUGUAGUUUUCUUCUUACGGCCACCUAUGGCUGCAGCAAUAUUUAGAAGGCUCAAUUGGGAUAAUAAUUAGACGAUAAGAGUUGGUUCGAGGGAACCCAAAACCUCCAGGUUAGACAAGUUAACAGUAAGGGAUAAUAUCUGAUAUCUCAUUAAUGACAAGCCACUGAAAUUUAUACAAACAAGGACUCUAACUGAAAGCUUAGAAAGGAGGAAACUUUUCCCAUGACACCCACUAUAGAAGUGAAUAACAUGACUCCUAAAACUACUCAACAACUAAAGACAUGCAAACUCCUACAAUUAUGCAACAACUAAUAACCAUGUAACCAUCUCCACUAACUCAUGAGAGAGCACGUGACAUUCCUUCCCCCAUCGAAAAAACCUUGUCCUCAAGGUUGACAUCUGGAAAUCUGAGUUGCAGCUCCUUCAAAUUUUCCCAAGUUGCAUCUGCUGGAGACAAGCCUUUCCAAUGUACCAAGACUUCUUCCUGAUUCUUCCUUUUUCGUUGUCCAAGGAUGGCUUGUGGCAUGAGAAAAAGAGUAUCCUUUCCAUAUGAAAGUGCAGGCAAAGAGUCUUGGACUGCCACGUUAGUGCCCACCUUCUUUUUGAGCAAUGACACGUGAAAGAUUGGAUGAAUUCUGGACCCCUCAGGAAGCUUCAAUUUAUAAGCCACUUGUCCCAUCCUCUGGAGAAUUUCAUAUGGCCCAAAGAAUCUUGGUGAUAACUUCAGAUCACGUGACACUUUCUCUCUAAUUGCCAGGACCCAGCACUCAUCGCCCGCUUAUGCUCCUUCCACUUUAGUUGGUCCUGGUUUUUUUGUUUUUUUUAACGAAGCGAUAUCGUUGAAACAAAAAACUCAGUACAAUAAAUCUUUCACCAAAGCAUCCAUACAUCUUCCACAAUACAUUUUAGGCUAAUUGAAGACUGCAAUUCGCCCCUGGCUCUAAUGGCCAACAAAGUGGCCCAUUUAUAGAAUGGCACAAUUGUCUGUCAGAAGCAUCCAAUUGGUUGCUGAUUUCACCAUCUUCAGACAAGGGGAUUUGCUAGUGAUGCAGCAAAUGCUAGCAGAUAUUGAAAAGAAAGCUUGGAGUGCCGCACCAAGUAAGAAAAUAAGAAGUGGUGACGACAUUUAAAAAUAAAACAAAAGAAAGACGAGCCGCCAGCACCAAAGAAGAAAUAACAACUGGAGUCAAGGUGGCAUUGAGUAAACAAUGGAAAGUUGGCAAAUAAAAAAAAUAGGCUAAACUAUACCCGAGUUACAUUUUCGUCAUUGAACUUCAAAAAUAGUAGUUGUCGUCCUCAAAUUAGACCACGUGUUCCACUACUGGCCAUUUUCAUCAAUUCCGUCAACUUUUCCAUUAAUUUCAUAAGUUCGGAAAUUCACUCCAAAUGUUUAGGAAAAUAAUAAACUAAUAAAAAUUAUUAAGAAAAAGAAUUAAAUAUUAAAAAAGACCACCGAUUGAUUGGCUCUUCUCCCUGCCCCAACCCAGCCCUUGCACCUUUGGUAACCCACCAUUCUAAUCCAUGGUUGGAAGAGGCGGAAUUGUUGAUAUUAUGACGAGAGAGAGAGGGAGAGAGAGAGAGAGAGAGAGAGACAGAGAGAGAGAGAGAGAGAGAGAGAGAGGCAGUGGUGGUGGUCGAUGGUCGUUUGGCAAUGGCCGUGACUAGUGGUGGAUUCAGGAUUUAAAAUCCAACUGAGCAAAAAUUACAUUAAAAACUCGAGGUUAUCAGUGAAUCUCAUUAAUACAUAAAAAUAUACAUCUAGUAGGAGGACAUAAUGAGCCUUACUCUCAAAUGCAUCUCUAUACAUAAAUAAAAGUAUAGCAAAAAAAAACUAUUCUUUUUCUUUAAAAAAAAUUUCCAACAAAUUCUUUAUUUUCUUGGGGUUUGGAUUGUGAUCUGACAUAACAAAAGAUAACCUAUUUAAUCCAACAUCCCAACAAAAAAAUCAAAUAAAUUCUCAUAAUAACAUCAAUGCCUUUAAUCAAAC